GAGAGUUUGAUCCUGGCUCAGGAUGAACGCUAGCUACAGGCUUAACACAUGCAAGUCGAGGGGCAGCAUGGUCUUAGCUUGCUAAGGCCGAUGGCGACCGGCGCACGGGUGAGUAACGCGUAUCCAACCUGCCUUACACUCUUGGACAGCCUUCUGAAAGGGAGAUUAAUACAAGAUGUUAUCAUGAGUAAGCAUUUUCGCAUGAUUAAAGGUUUACCGGUGUAAGAUGGGGAUGCGUUCCAUUAGAUAGUAGGCGGGGUAACGGCCCACCUAGUCUUCGAUGGAUAGGGGUUCUGAGAGGAAGGUCCCCCACAUUGGAACUGAGACACGGUCCAAACUCCUACGGGAGGCAGCAGUGAGGAAUAUUGGUCAAUGGACGAGAGUCUGAACCAGCCAAGUAGCGUGAAGGAUGAAGGUUCUAUGGAUUGUAAACUUCUUUUAUACGGGAAUAAACGGAUCCACGUGUGGAUUUUUGCAUGUACCGUAUGAAUAAGGAUCGGCUAACUCCGUGCCAGCAGCCGCGGUAAUACGGAGGAUCCGAGCGUUAUCCGGAUUUAUUGGGUUUAAAGGGAGCGUAGAUGGGUUGUUAAGUCAGUUGUGAAAGUUUGCGGCUCAACCGUAAAAUUGCAAUUGAUACUGGCAGUCUUGAGUACAGUUGAGGUAGGCGGAAUUCGUGGUGUAGCGGUGAAAUGCUUAGAUAUCACGAAGAACUCCGAUUGCGAAGGCAGCUUACUAACCUGUAACUGACAUUGAUGCUCGAAAGUGUGGGUAUCAAACAGGAUUAGAUACCCUGGUAGUCCACACGGUAAACGAUGAAUACUCGCUGUAGGCGAUAUACAGUCUGCGGCCAAGCGAAAGCAUUAAGUAUUCCACCUGGGGAGUACGCCGGCAACGGUGAAACUCAAAGGAAUUGACGGGGGCCCGCACAAGCGGAGGAACAUGUGGUUUAAUUCGAUGAUACGCGAGGAACCUUACCCGGGCUUAAAUUGCAACCGAAUAUGGCGGAAACGCUAUAGCUAGCAAUAGCGGUUGUGAAGGUGCUGCAUGGUUGUCGUCAGCUCGUGCCGUGAGGUGUCGGCUUAAGUGCCAUAACGAGCGCAACCCUUGCCGAUAGUUACUAACAGGUCAUGCUGAGGACUCUGUCGGGACUGCCAUCGUAAGAUGUGAGGAAGGUGGGGAUGACGUCAAAUCAGCACGGCCCUUACGUCCGGGGCUACACACGUGUUACAAUGGGGGGUACAGAGGGCUGCUACCACGCAAGUGGAUGCCAAUCCCAAAAACCUCUCUCAGUUCGGAUUGAAGUCUGCAACCCGACUUCAUGAAGCUGGAUUCGCUAGUAAUCGCGCAUCAGCCACGGCGCGGUGAAUACGUUCCCGGGCCUUGUACACACCGCCCGUCAAGCCAUGGGAGCCGGGGGUACCUGAAGUGCGUAACCGCAAGGAGCGCCCUAGGGUAAAACUGGUGACUGGGGCUAAGUCGUAACAAGGUAGCCG
rnacentral:rRNA from 1 species